rnacentral:lncRNA from 1 species
AGAAGCUGGGUGUGCGGGGAGGGAGGGCUGGCCUGAGGAAGCCAUCUGGGGGACACGGCUGAGGGCCCCAGCCUGCAGCCCCACCCUAUGUGUCUCAGACCCACUUUCUCUUCCCUUGACCGAUUCCACUGCCUGGAUGACAUGGGGCAGGAAGGGGAAGGCUGCCUGCCAUGUGGUAGGAGCAGUGCAGAGGGCGGGGACCUUUCCCAGCUGAGAGAGAUGAAGCCCAGGUUGACCUUGUGGCCGAUAACAGCAAAAUAGGAGCUGACCUUUACCAACCAUUUCCUAAGCAGCAGGCCAAGCGCCAUACAAACUGCCUUAUUGAAGACCCUGGCUCUACUGGAAAACGAAUUCUUUUAGUUGCAUUCACCUCUUGCAAAGUCCUUGGAGGAUGCAGGAAGCUGAACUUCAGGGGAGGCACCAAGAGCGACUACCUAGACCCUCUCUCUCAUAGUUCCAAGGUUCUGGGUUGGGAGCCUGCCGACCUGGCGCCUUCUCGUCAUUCGACCCACAGCUCUCCCUCUGGACACUUUUCUAGCAGCCCGUGGGGCUCCGACAGGAACACAGUACCAGUCUUUCACCUGGAGGCCUGCUCUCCUCCACUUUCUUCGUGUGGUGGGGACUGCCUGGGCCCUGUUCCACUGCGGUUCCCGGGGAAAGGAGACUGA